rnacentral:rRNA from 1 species
GGGAAUCUUCCACAAUGGACGAAAGUCUGAUGGAGCAACGCCGCGUGAGUGAAGAAGGUUUUCGGAUCGUAAAACUCCGUUGUAAGGGAAGAACACGUACGAGAGUAACUGCCCGUACCUUGACGGUACCUUAUUAGAAAGCCACGGCUAACUACGUGCCCGCAGCCGCGGUAAUACGCAGGUGGCAAGCGUUGUCCGGAAUUAUUGGGCGUAAAGCGCGCGCAGGCGGUUCGUUAAGUCUGAUGUGAAAGCCCACGGCUCAACCGUGGAGGGUCAUUGGAAACUGGAGAACUUGAGUACAGAAGAGGAAAGCGGAAUUCCACGUGUAGCGGUGAAAUGCGUAGAGAUGUGGAGGAACACCAGUGGCGAAGGCGGCUUUCUGGUCUGUAACUGACGCUGAGGCGCGAAAGCGUGGGGAGCAAAC